GAAAUGCGAUAAUUAAUGUGAAUUGCAGAAUUCAGUGAAUCAUCGAGUCUUUGAACGCACAUUGCGCCCCCUGGUAUUCCGGGGGGGCAUGUCUGUCCGAGCGUCAUUGCUGCCCUCAAGCACGGCUUGUGUGUUGGGCUUCCGUCCCUGGCAACGGGGACGGGCCCAAAAGGCAGUGGCGGCACCAUGUCUGGUCCUCGAGCGUAUGGGGCUUUGUCACCCGCUCCCGUAGGUCCAGCUGGCAGCUAGCCUCGCAACCAAUCUUUUUAACCAGGUUGACCUCGGAUCAGGUAGGGAUACCCGCUGAACUUAAGC
rnacentral:misc_RNA from 1 species